rfam:Balearica pavonina gibbericeps contig20907, whole genome shotgun sequence.
CUGCACACCAGUAGACCUUAUCUGGUUCUUCUAAUAGCCAGACGAGGGGGAUGGUGCAUGCGAGAAAAACGUGGGGUUGCUGUAGACUGUGAUCAGCCGUGACGUGGCUGAUUGAACUACAAUACUCCAACAUAA